rnacentral:rRNA from 1 species
UACGUAGGGUGCAAGCGUUUGUCCGGAAUUACUGGGCGUAAAGAGCUCGUAGGUGGUUUGUCGCGUUGUUCGUGAAAACUCACAGCUUAACUGUGGGCGUGCGGGCGAUACGGGCAGACUAGAGUGCGGUAGGGGAGACUGGAAUUCCUGGUGUAGCGGUGAAAUGCGCAGAUAUCAGGAGGAACACCGGUGGCGAAGGCGGGUCUCUGGGCCGUAACUGACGCUGAGGAGCGAAAGCGUGGGGAGCGAACAGG